rnacentral:hammerhead_ribozyme from 1 species
ACGCGAAAAGGGGAAAACAGCCCCUGUCUUUCCGGAGACGGUAGCCGGGAACUGACGAGCGAGCCGGGG